GAUGAACGCUGGCGGCGUGCCUAAUACAUGCAAGUCGAGCGAAUGGAUUGAGAGCUUGCUCUUAUGAAGUUAGCGGCGGACGGGUGAGUAACACGUGGGUAACCUGCCCAUAAGACUGGGAUAACUCCGGGAAACCGGGGCUAAUACCGGAUAACAUUUUGAACCGCAUGGUUCGAAAUUGAAAGGCGGCUUCGGCUGUCACUUAUGGAUGGACCCGCGUCGCAUUAGCUAGUUGGUGAGGUAACGGCUCACCAAGGCAACGAUGCGUAGCCGACCUGAGAGGGUGAUCGGCCACACUGGGACUGAGACACGGCCCAGACUCCUACGGGAGGCAGCAAUAGGGAAUCUUCCGCAAUGGAUGAAAGUCUGACGGAGCAACGCCGCGUGAGUGAUGAAGGCUUUCGGGUCGUAAAACUCUGUUGUUAGGGAAGAACAAGUGCUAGUUGAAUAAGCUGGCACCUUGACGGUACCUAACCAGAAAGCCACGGCUAACUACGUGCCAGCCGCCGCCGUAACAC
rnacentral:rRNA from 1 species